rnacentral:misc_RNA from 1 species
GAUGAAGAACGCAGCGAAAUGCGAUCCUUGGUGUGAAUUGCAGAAUCCCGUGAACCAUCGAGUCUUUGAACGCAAGUUGCGCCCGAAGCCAUUAGGCCGAGGGCACGCCUGCCUGGGCGUCACACGUCGUUGCCCCCCCAUCUACUCCUUCGGGAUUGCGGGGGGCGGAUGAUGGCCUCCCGUGCGCCUCGUCGCGCGGUUGGCAUAAAUGCCAGGUCCUCGGCGACGCACGCCACGACAAUCGGUGGUUGCGAAACCUCGGUUGCCCGUCGUGUGCGGUCGUCGCGCAUCGAGGGCUCGAAAAAAUUGCCGGGCUCCGGCUCGGCUUUCAACGCGACCCCAGGUCAGGCGGGGUUACCCGCUGAAUUUAAGCAUAUCAAUAAGCGGAGGA